GCGGGCGUCUGCCCUCCCGCCGCCCGUUUCGAGGUCGUGGAGAGGAGAGGAAAUGGCCCCGGAGCAACCACGCAGCUGCCUGAUCGUCUGGCCCGACCGCGCCUCAGUAGAUUUGGGUCCUGGUCUGAGCAGCCGGGCUGGUGCGGGUGUCCUCACUAGGAUAAUGAAUACAGCUCCACUACCUAUACUACCCAAGACGACCCCUCACACGCUCUGCGAGGAAACCGGUCUUCGGACCUGUGCCCCCAACCUGGUGGCCUGCACCAGUGAUAGGGCAAUUUGACUCCUAGUCGUGGGGGCUUGUGAUACUAUCUCUACCUACAGACACCCACUGCCUGUCACUGCACAGUAAACCUUCCUGCUCCACAGGGCUGCCUCCCCACUGGAAUUCCCACCGUGUUCCUGGUUCUGGAAAGUCUGUUUUCCCGGGUGGCCAUGAUACCCUCCCUACUACUCCACUUCUUCCUUGCAGUCACAAGCAGCAGAGUGGAAUGGGAGCUCGACACUGACUAGGCCUUUAACAGUCCUAAGAACAGUUAAGGGUUAGAGAGGACCACCCAGUACCUGGCACAAAGCAGGUACAGCUUAAAUGAUAGUUCUCCUGGCAAUGAGAGACGGGCCUUCACUCAUCAGAGGAGUCAGAGCUCCCUUCCCUUCGCCUUCACCAGCUGGCUUUGUCUACAGGUAUCCCAUCACUUCUUCCCAUCUCUGACCUCUAGAAACUUCUGGUAAAGGCCACAGCCACCCCACCUGACGUCCCUAAGCUCCCAAGAGACAGUGUCACCCCAAGGGAAUAAAGCCA
rnacentral:lncRNA from 1 species